ACAUCUCAGGUUUGUAAAGAACUUGGGAAGCACUUAAAAAUUGAAGUCAUGGUUACCACUGGGGGUACCAGCUUGAAGGAUGAUAUAAUGAGACUUUAUCAACCAGUUCAUUUACUAGUUGGAACUCCUGGAAGAAUACUUGACCUUGCGAGAAAGGGAAUUUAUCAACCAGUUCAUUUACUGGUUGGAACUCCUGGAAGAAUACUUGACCUUGCGAGAAAGGGAAUAUGUGUUUUGAAAGAUUGCUCCAUGCUUAUCAUGGACGAGGUAAUUCUUCUUCCCUUUCCCCUCCUUAAUAUUGAUGGGGUUAAAUCUGUAUCAAUUGUCUUCUUGAGAGAACAUAUAGAAGACUAAAAGGAUGACAACUUGCUAUUAAUUGUUCGACUGCAUGCUUAUAAAAAAAAUCGUC
rnacentral:lncRNA from 1 species